rnacentral:misc_RNA from 1 species
GUAAUAAUAUCAAUGUUAAAAAAUAGAAUAAUUGUUAGUCGAUUAUUUAUAUGUAGAAAAUGUUUAAAGUGAAUAAUGUUUGUAGGGUAGAUUGAAAUAAGAGGUUGGUGAUGUGAGAAUAAAUCACUUUGUAAUGUCAGUCGUGGAGAAAAUUUCAAUGUGAAUAGAUCAAGCAGUGAAAUAAAUCGGUAAACCUUUAAAGCUCGUGAAUGCAAUACCAGGUUGUGUGGGACCUUUACCCAUCAAUUGAUUGCGAUGAUCGUUCUCGAUAUGGAGUUGGAUGACAGCGAGAAAAAAAAACUCGAAUAAUUUAACAACGAAUAUGUGACAUCUUCUUUCAAACUUUCUCUACUACAAAAAGCCGCAAACUUUCUCUACUACAAAAAGCCGCAAGUAAAAUCUUGGAGACAUACUUAUGUUUUCAUCAAUUUUUUUUAUAUGGUUCUUCAUGCGUAUAGCAGUGGUGAUGCCAUGUGGAGUUUGACUUACGCAUAUACUACAAAUAGUACGAAAUGGAGGCAAAAGUUGAUUGAAAUAAAAUGGAAGACUAAAUGGAGAGGAAGAGGCAGUAUAAAAAUGUCAAUAGAUUUCAGAAUGCCGGUGGUAUAUUAUUGAUACUCGGUUGCAUAGUAUCCACAAACUGCUUUCAAAUGCGGAGGACUGCUAAGUGACUGACUGAGGCAUAGAAGAUAAGGAGAAGCAAGAGUAUCAUAGGUUCUAUUAUUGUUUACCCAAUGUGAGGUAUAUUUUAUGGAAUAAAUAAGUCAAACCGGUGUUUGGUCAUACCUAAUAACAAUGUUGCAAACUUCUUUUGCUUCCAGUAAUUCAUUUUUACUAUAAAUUAGAUUAGGAUAGUCUACAUAAUUAUUGUAGAAUCCUUCAACUCGCAUAUUUAUAUUUUGUUAGUAUGUCUUUUUUUAUAUUUUGUGUAUACAGUGUUUAUUGUGACCAAUUCACACAAAAACCACGUUCCUGAUUCUCUGACAUACCGGUCUCUAUAGUUAUUAUUGACUUUUUGGAUUUACAGUUAAUAGUUAGUAUAUAUUAACUACGACCCAAAAUAAAAUCCAUAUUUUUAGAUUUUUUUUCUUGUGGUUGGGAGUUAAAAUCGCGCUUUUAUUUACUACUUGCUUUUUUAAAUCAAAUUCUAAAAACGGUAACAUGCGAUUCAGAUCAACGUUUUAUUUGUCGACCGCCAAGGAAGGACAAAGUGCCUUUGCAGGAGGUAGGCGCUUGUCUAUACCCGCUAGCUUGGCGUCUAUCACUAGGAUGACCCUUUGAGUUCCACAAAGAGCCCACUAUCUUCCCGCACCAACGGCUGCGGCAAGCGAGGUCUUUGCGCGAAAUGCACCACCUCUUUCAUCUCUGCGAACUUCGCCCUUAGAAUUUUUAUUAUGCACAUAGUUGUAGUUAAGUUUUUUUAGAUUUUGUGGCUACUUCCAUGAUGACGUUGAGGUAAGAUGAUGAUGCGGCUACCACCGAUGUCUAUGCCCAAGGCCGCCCUACCUGCCCUUGCAUUUUUGUCUCUACGCUUGCUGCAGGCAGCCCCUCCAUCACUUUUUUUUGCAGGCACUCACUUCCUUGCGUUUCGCUCUGGUGAGCAUUCUAUCUGACGCUUGCAUCUUAGUAUCUACGCUCGCUGCAAGUAGAUUCUCCUCUUACUUUUUUUUACAACUACUCCCUAUGUUUCGCUCUUGUAACGAAAGGCUCUUGUUCUCUUACCAUUAAGGCGUUAGUGCCGUUUGUGUCGCUUGAAAUUAGGCAUAGUUGGUUCUCGCCAGCUUUUUUUCGUCUUAGUCUUUUCAUUUCUACGACAUUUUCUAUGAAAAUAUGAAAAUCAGUCAGCUUCCAUUUUUUUAUAUUUAAAUCACAUAGCUAUGCAGUCUGACAUAUUCGCUUAUUUACAAUCAACAUAACAACCCCUAAUUUUUGAAAAAAUAUAUUAAUUGCACCUUAAAAUUACUUUGAAUAGGUGCUGUGAUAUAUUUGUUGAAAGCAAUACACCUCAUCGUUUGACAAUAAAUGUAAAUAAAAAGAAGGCAUGGGCAAAGAGCCCAUGGAUGUUUAUGUUAUGUAUUAAAAAAAGUAGGAGAUUCUUCUUUUGAAUAUUAUUCAAGAUUUUUUAAAAAUCUUAAACAUAAAAUUACUUAUUUAAGUACCUAAUAGCUAUCACAAUAGGCAUAGGUAGUUACUAUUUAAGUAAUAAUCAUAAAGCAAAUCACUUUUACGCUAAAAAUAAAACUUUGUCUAAAGUUAAAUUUGUCC